rnacentral:rRNA from 1 species
UGGAGCAUGUGGUUUAAUUCGAAGCAACGCGAAGAACCUUACCAGGCCUUGACAUGCAGAGAACUUUCCAGAGAUGGAUUGGUGCCUUCGGGAACUCUGACACAGGUGCUGCAUGGCUGUCGUCAGCUCGUGUCGUGAGAUGUUGGGUUAAGUCCCGUAACGAGCGCAACCCUUGUCCUUAGUUACCAGCACGUUAUGGUGGGCACUCUAAGGAGACUGCCGGUGACAAACCGGAGGAAGGUGGGGAUGACGUCAAGUCGUCAUGGCCCUUACGGCCUGGGCUACACACGUGCUACAAUGGUCGGUACAAAGGGUUGCCAAGCCGCGAGGUGGAGCUAAUCCCAUAAAACCGAUCGUAGUCCGGAUCGCAGUCUGCAACUCGACUGCGUGAAGUCGGAAUCGCUAGUAAUCGUGAAUCAGAAUGUCACGGUGAAUACGUUCCCGGGCCUU